rnacentral:rRNA from 1 species
CCUACGGUGGGCAGCAGUGAGGAAUAUUGGUCAAUGAACGAGAGUCUGAACCAGCCAAGUAGCGUGAAGGAUGACUGCCCUAUGGGUUGUACACUUCUUUUAUAAAGGAAUAAAACGAGGCACGUGUGCCUUUUUGCAUGUACUUUAUGAAUAAGGAUCGGCUAACUCCGUGCCAGCAGCCGCGAUAAUACGGAGGAUCCGAGCGUUAUCCGGAUUUAUUGGGUUUAAAGGGUGCGUAGGUGGGUUUUUAAGUCAGCUGUGAAAGUUUGUGGCUCAACCGUAAAAUUGCCGUUGAGACUGGCAGUCUUGAGUAUAUUUGAGGUAGGCGGAAUUCGUGGUGUAGCGGUGAAAUGCUUAGAUAUCACGCAGAACCCCGAUUGCGAAGGCAGCUUGCCAAGCCAUGACUGACGCUGAUGCACGAAAGCGUGGGGAUCAGACAGGAUUAGAUACCCUAGUAGUC